rnacentral:rRNA from 1 species
GACGAACGCUGGCGGCGUGCUUAACACAUGCAAGUCGAACGAGAUCCAUGUUGUAGCAAUACUUCGGAAGAUCUAGUGGCGAACGGGUGAGGAACACGUGAGGAACCUGCCCCGGACUUCGGGAUAACAGUUGGAAACGAUUGCUAAUACCGAAUACCUCUGCGAAGUGGCAUCACUUUGCAAAGAAAGAAUUUCGGUCCGGGAGGGUCUCGCGGCCUAUCAGCUAGUUGGUGGGGUAACGGCCUACCCAGGCAUCGACGGGUAGCUGGUCUGAGAGGAUGAUCAGCCAGACUGGGACUGAGACACGGCCCAGACUCCUACGGGAGGCAGCAGUGGGGAAUCUUGUGCAAUGGGCGAAAGCCUGACACAGCAACGCCGCGUGCGGGAAGAAGGCCUUCGGGUCGUAAACCGCUUUCAGCAGGAACGAAAAUGACGGUACCUGCAGAAGAAGGUGCGGCCAACUACGUGCCAGCCGCCGCAGUAA